CGUUCACUCUGCGUCCUUGGGCGGGGCCUCCCGCUUCUGGACCUCUGCUUCCCAUCUGUGUAAUGUGGUGGUGAGGGGGCGUGGAUUAAGAGAUCGCUUCUCCAGAUAUUUAGAGAUUCUGACAUUUCUGGGAUCAGUUUGCGUUUUAACUUCAGACAGACCAGAGUUCAGAUCCUGGCCAGGGAAACAGGCAGCCUUGAUAUUACGAGAAAGACUCCGAGAACAGGCCCGCAGACGCCCGGAGCUACAGCUCACCCCUGAGCAUUCUCAGCUCAAGCCUGGGCAGAGGGACAAAGGCCCUGAGGGCUCACUGGGCUCUCCUACCUCCACCAUAAAUCCCCAGCUUUUUAUUUCUGCCCCACCUUUCCAGUCUUCUCUCUGUCGUUCUCAGUAGCGGCAUCAUGAGCUACCAUUCCCCCAAUUUCUUCUUGGUGAAACAAGGCUUGAAGCUCCCCCUCCAUCUGGGGUGCUGACCCUAAGGCCCUUCUAAGUGGAGGUUCUAGAGCUGCCUCGGCUUCCACUCUGCCCUUUCCUGCAUCCUGCCCGCAUCGCUCCAAGAAUGCGCCCCACUUUCCCAUGCCCGGCCUGGCGCUCGCCUCCUUUAUCUCCACAGGGAAUACCUGUCUCCCUGCUCCCCAUGGCCCCCUCCCACUUCUUGCCCAUCCAGCUCAAACCUCCAGCACGGAGUCUACACUGAUCACUCACUCCUCAAGUCACUCAGCCAUGUCUCUCCCAGACACUGCUCCCCAGAGAAGAGGCUUACCAGCCCUAUGUGACCUUAAGACCCUGCAGACCAAGGAACUCCUGCAAUUAUUUGUCUCUGUCCCUCACCCUUGCCCCCCAGCACCGUGAGAACACAGUAGGUGCCUGCUAAAACAACGAUAAUAACCAUUACCUGAAAAAUAAUGAAUUAUAAUUGCUUAUUGACCAUUCAUUCUUUACAAUGCUCAGAUCUCAGCAUUUUACAGGUAUCAUUUCAGUUCAUCCUCCCAAGCCCCCCAUAGACUUGUCAUUCCUACCCCUUUGUCUUCAACUGAGGAAAUUGAGGCUCAGAGAGGUGAAAUGAUUUGCCCAAGGUCACAUAGCCAGGAGAUGGCAGUCAUAAGACUGGAAUUUAAGUUCUUAUCCACCGCCCUACUUGGCCUCCCUCCAAUCCACACAUAAAGGAGGGGAUAUGUGAGAAGCUGUGACCUGCCAGUGAUGGGGCUAUGGGGGUCCCAUAGAAACCAGCCCAGCCCAGGGCCAGAGGCAGAUUCCAUAAAUAAAACUUCACAACCUUCUAUUAGGUACCUACUCUGUACAAAGCCCUAUGCUAGGUGCUGGGAGCACAGAAUAUUACAUGAGACAUCUGGAACUCACAAUCUAGCAAGAGAGACAAGCCACGUCCCAGGAUAAAGUCAAGAGCAAGCAGAACUUGUCCCCAGAGGAGACCCGAUAAGGUGCUAAGGGAAUGCAGAGGACAGCAAGACAAAUCUCCCUGUGGGGUUGGGGACGGGAGGGCUCACAAGGCUUUGGGGGACAGAGGUUGGCAUCUGAGCUGAGCCUUGACAAGGCAGGCAGGAUUUCAACAGUGACUGGGGAAGGACGGGGUGUGGCAUUCCUGGCAGAGAUGAACCCAGGAAGUUGAGGCAAAGACACAGGUAAGCACUGGGUGUGUCCCAGGAGCCACAGCAAAUGCAUUCUCCAAGCCCCUCCCCUUGGCACUGGUCCCAGGUGUCUGGCCAUGAAGAGAGGCCACCAUGAGCGUCCCCAGACUCCCAGGCAGCUGAUUCAUUCUGGUAAGCGGGCGUGGAAAGGGAGAGAGUGCUGAGUGCCUCGGCGCAUGGUCUGCCAGAAGGGGCUCAAGGGGCUAGAAUCCAGGCUCUGUACAGACUCUCUCAAGAUGGGAGAUGCUAAAGGGAGGAAGUGGCCCCACCAGAAGUGGGUGAUGCUGGGGAGGAAACAAGGAAAGGGGCAAAGACUGUGAAUUGGGCAGCAGGAGACCUGGCUUCCAGAACUACAGAUCAAAGCUGCGUGGGACCUUGGGCUUAUCCUGUCCAACCCUCAUUUUUACAGCUGGGAAAACUGAGGCCCAGAUAGGGGAAGAGACCGGUUCGCAGUCCCUUCGCAGCAGAACCAGCCAUGUGCUGAGAGACUCUCACUCCAGCCCUCAGCCAGGUCCGGCUCCCUUCCUUUUCCUUUCUACACAACUCUGCUCCUGAAUCUCCGUUUCCUGGCUGCAGCCUCUGCCUCCCUCCCCUCCAUCACCGAGCCUGACAGAGGACCUCCAAGCCCCCAAGCACCCUUCUGAGGAGAUAAAACUAUCAUGCUUUGCAGAUGAUAAGCUCAUUUAAUUGGGAGACUCAAGAUAAUCAAUGAAGAACUGAGGUGGCCAGUGACAAAACAACAUCUAAAGAAAAAGCCAAGCGCCUGCAGUCCUGCCCUGUUACCUGCUCUUGACGCAGCAUCUCUCCAACAGGAUCUUAAUCCAGGAGGACACAGAAAACAAGCACUUAAUCCACCCAGGACCUGGCUCAUAUUAAACACAGAUUUGCUGACAAAUGGAUGUGAAAGAAUUCCACUCAGCUCAGGUGUGUGGACAUCCAGGAGGAGAACUUCAGCUUAUUAUAAAGAUCUCUAACAGUCAACACGAUCCAAGAAAACAAUGGACCACCCUGGGAGUGAUGAACUCCCUGCCAAUAAAUGUAUUCAAAGAAAGAUUGGGUCUUCAACUGGAGGCUGAACUAGGAAUCAGAUGACCCUUCAAACCGAAAAAUGAGCAAGUUCUAUUAGAAGGGGAAAGACAAGAUCAAGGCCAUGCUUCCAGACAGUUACCUGGCUGUAUAUAUAGAACAGAUUGAUAUGAAGGGACCAGAGGCAGGGAGGACCAGUUAGGAACCACUGCAGUGGUCCAUUAGGUGGCAGUGGGAAUGGAAGGCCAAGGACAGGUGUGUGGUGACAGAAGCACUGGCCCUGGGCUGGAAGUCAGGAGCUACAGGUUUUAGUUCUGCCUCUGCCAUUAACUUAUUGUGGAGUAUGGGGUAAAUCCCUCCCCUUCUCUGGACUUCAGUUUCCCCAUCUGUGAAAUGCAGAAUAAUCUCCAAGUCCCUGCUAACUCUGGAUUCUGUUUAUGGGAAAGAGAUUAUGAAGGCUAACUGGGAAAAUGUAGUAGACAGCCUUUAUACACUUCAAAGGAACAAUAUCACUAGGCUCAUACUAUCAUUGUUAUUACAAAGGCUGCCUCCCCAGAACUUGGUGACUAGAUUGGUAGGAAUGGACAAGAAGGAGUCAAUGGACUGCAUGUGUAGGGGGUGGGCUCAGGGGACAAGGACCUCUGAUCUUUGGGGAGCGUCAGCUAACCUCUCUAUUCCUCCCCGAAGAUCUGUGAAGACAGCGUGCUGUGUGCUGUCACCACAUGAACUGCUUCCUCAUUCCUUUGAGCCACACCUCAUACUUGGCUAAGGGAAGCAAUCAGUUCUAGGAAAAGUUAGACUCUGUUCCCCUCCUUUUAAUGUUCCCAAAUGACACCGGUUGUGGUCCUUCCCUUAAAUAAUAAGUAUCAUCUACGCAUAUGAAAACAGCCAAUAUUAUUGCACUGUGUGCUAAGCACUUACAUAGCUUUCUCACCCUGGGAGGUAGCUCUAAUUAUUAUCCCCAUUUUAUAGAUGAGGACACCCGUGGCUCAUGGAGAUUCGCAAUUUUCCCACAGUUGCAUAGUUUAUGAAGGGGAUUCCAAUACAGGUCUGUGUGAUGUCAAGGCUGCAUUCCUAGAGGCUUCUAACAUUUUACUAUGUAUUUUUACAACAGCUUAGGGAAGAGGGCAAGAUGAGUACGGUCUCUAGGGUACAGCUGGGAAAACGGAAGCUCGGAAAGGUUAAAUUAAGUCACUUGGACAAGUUAGUAAAGGCUUUCAAUGUGCAGUUCACACUCUUUCCUGAUCUCUGUUCCUCUCCUAUGACCCAGCAGUGCUUUCCUCCUUCCCUGCAGCUUCCAGGGCCUCCCCAGUCUUCCUAGGCCUGAUCGGUAGGUACUUGCCCAGACCAUUUAAGAGAAGGACUUUUACUUGUCCUUUUUCUGGGGCAUGGGGAGGGAGGAAUUUCUGAAAGGCGAAAGUUAACUCCCAUCUCCUCACUCACCACCACCAGCCCACACACCCCCCAGCCCAGGGCCUUGAGGUGACAGUGCUGAAGGCUUAGAGUGAGUCACGCAGAGCUGACCUGCCAGUCACCGGAGCAUCAGGUGCUAAGCUUAGGUUAGAAGGGUGGAAAAGUAGGCCAAGUGUUCUCGUCCCCAGGAGCACGGCCCAGUUGCAGCUCAGGCCCCCCCCCCCCACAUCUCAUCCCCAAAUACUGCAAACCCCGGAGGCAGAGGAGACGUGAGAAAUCAGAAUGCAUUCCCACCCUUCAGAGGGGAUAGGACAGUGAGUACAAAAUAAUAUAUACUUAUAAAAAGCGAUGGGGGUACGUGGUGACGAAUUCCAAGGAGAGAAGUUCACAAAGGAGUUGAGAUCACAGUGGAGUCUUAAAGGGUAAGUUGAACAUGCAGAGGUAGAGGGGCACUCCAGGCUGCAGGAACGCACAGGCAGAAGCGCUAAAGCUUAGAUGUAUCUGCACACCAUCUAGCAGGCAAUAGGGAGGUAUGGAGUGCACUAUGGAUUUGAGAAAGACUGCCUGAGUUUGAAUCCUGGCUCUGUCCCUUCUCAGCUAUUUGACCUUGGGCAAGUUACUUAACCCCUCUGGGAGAGAUAUCAUUGUCUCCUAUUAUUUGCUCUCCCCCUUCCCAGUAAGCUUACACAUUCUAGGCAGUUGCCAUGUGACUCCAGAGGAAGGAGUACACUUCCCCAGACCAAUGUCAGACUUGAUCACAUGACUUACUUUGGCCAGUGGAAUUUGAGCUGGAGAGAUAUAUGCCAGUUCUAGGCAGAAACUUGAAGAACCAUUGCAUGUUUUUAGUCUAAAAUCAAACCUUUAAUCUCUGCCACUGGAAUGGCAUGACCUGGAUGGGGGCUGUGCCUUCAGCCUGGACCUUAGAGUGAAAAGACGCAGAAAGCAGAGCUGUAGCCAACACACAGCUGCCCCACAGCUAUCUGUGUAAUCUGAGGGAGAAAACUUUGUUGGAAGCCACUGAGAUUUGGGGGUUGUUUGUUAUCACAUCAUAACUUAGCAUAACCUAGUGAUUUUAGUAGUACUUACCUCAUAAAACUGUUGUGAGGAUUAAAUAAGGUGAUCUUGUGAAAAAUGUAUAACCAUUUCAUCAGAAAUUGCAUUAUAAAAUGAUCACUCUGCCCAUACAUAUAUGGACAUUUGAUAUACAACAGAAAUGACAUUUGCAAAAGCCUCGCAAAGGAUGGUGUCACAGGUUGAAUAGUAUCCCCCCAAAAUUCAUUUCUACCUAGAACCUCAGAAUAUGACCUUAGGACUUCCCUGGUGGCACACUGGUUAAGA